CCUACGGGAGGCAGCAGUGAGGAAUAUUGGUCAAUGGACGAGAGUCUGAACCAGCCAAGUCGCGUGAAGGAUGAAUGCCCUAUGGGUUGUAAACUUCUUUUAUAUGGGAGUAAAAUGUUCCACGUGUGGGAUUUUGUAUGUACCAUAUUAAUAAGGAUCGGCUAACUCCGUGCCAGCAGCCGCGGUAAUACGGGGGCUCCGAGCGUUAUCCGGCUUUGUUGGGUUUAAAGGGAGCGUAGGUGGAUUGUUAAGUCAGUUGUGAACGGUUGCGGCUCAACCGGAACAUUGCAGAUGAAACUGGCAGUCUUGAGUACAGUAGAGGUGGGCGGAAUUCGUGGUGUAGCGGUGAAAUGCGUAGAGAUCACGAAGAACUCCGAUGGCGAAGGCAGCUCACUGGACUGUAACUGACACUGAGGCUCGAAAGUGUGGGUAUCAAACAGGAUUAGAUACCCGUGUAGUC
rnacentral:rRNA from 1 species